rnacentral:misc_RNA from 1 species
GAUGAAGAACGUAUCGAAAUGCGAUAAGUAAUGUGAAUUGCAGAAUCCAGUGAAUCAUCGAAUCUUUGAACGCACAUUGCGCCCGCCAGCAUUCUGGCGGGCAUGCCUGUUCGAGCGUCAUUUCAACCCUCGACCUCCCCUUGGGGAGGUCGGCGUUGGGGACCGGCAGCACACCGCCGGCCCUGAAAUGGAGUGGCGGCCCGUCCGCGGCGACCUCUGCGCAGUAAUACAGCUCGCACCGGGACCCCGACGCGGCCACGCCGUAAAACACCCAACUUCUGAACGUUGACCUCGAAUCAGGUAGGACUACCCGCUGAACUUAAGCAUAUCAAUAAGCGGAGGA